UGUUCGGGAGAUAUUUGCUAGCUGGAUUCCACCCCUGCUGACAGUGUGUGCCCUGGCGAUGGAGCAGUGUCCUUGUUGCAGAUUUGAACCACUUUCACCUCGUAAACAGCAGCUGGUGAGAGGAAUGGACUUGCACAUUCAUUCGUUUUACAAAUGAAGAAACUGAAGCACAGAGAAGGAAGGAAUGAUUUGUGCAGGAGGUGGUAUUUGAGAUACUCAUCAUUUUCUCUCAUUACCCACAUUUGUUUCUACUCCUGUAGUAGUUUGGUUAAAGGCAAUAGACUCCUUGUUCCUUAUAUUGUGCCUUUUUGUGAUGUGACUUCGCUCUUCUUCCCAAUCAAAAGUGGAAUUUAUUUCUUCCACCCCUUAAAUCUGGACUGGGCUUGUGACUUGAUUUGGUUAAUAUAAUGCAGCAUAUGUGAGGUCGUGCGAUUUCUAAGGCUUGGUCUUUAGAGAUUGUGUCUUCUGCCUUUAUACUCUUGGAAUGCUGCCUUGAGACCACCAUGUAAGCUGGUCUAGCCUACUAGUGGAUGAGAGGUCACAUGCAGAAAAACUGGGGUGCCAGUCCUCAGCUGGCACUGAUUGCCAGACUUAUGAAUAAGGACAUCUUAGACCUUCCAGGCCAGCAGCCCUUCCAACUGAAUGCAGCUCCUGAAUGAUCGCAGGUGAAACCAGCAAAGGAGGCAGUUAGCCACUCACAGAAUUAUGAGAAAUAGUGAAUUAUUGCUGUUUUAAGCCACUAAACUUUUGGGAGUGUUUUUUAAAUGCAGCAAUAGAUAACAGAAACAACUUCUUUGCUUCCUGUUUCAGUAAAUGGUUUUAUUAUCUACCUGGUUGUUUAGGCUGGUGCCCUUUUCUUUAUAUCUCACAUUUAAUCUGUCACCAAGUCCAGGGAACUUUACCUCCUAAAUAUAUAUCAAAUCCCUCUGCUUUCUACCUUUCCCAUUGCUAUGACAUUAGCUCAGGUCCUAGUCAUCUCUUAUCUAGAUUAUUACAGCAAUCUCUAUUGUUUUCUCUGUCUCCUAUCUCUCUGCUCCCUAUCCUUCCCAUCCAAUCUGUUGUAUUCCCCUGCCACAGGCAGAGCUAUCUUUCUCACAAGAAUAUGUAACCAUGUUACUCCAUUGCUUAAAAUCUUUUUGUUUGCAAGGUAAGCUCCCAAAUCCCUAAUAUGAUGUACAAGGCCUUGGACCAUCUGGCCUCUUCUUCUCUUUCCUCCCCGAUCUUC
rnacentral:lncRNA from 1 species